CAAAUUCUGUCCAUAACAGGCCUUUGCAGAGUCAUGGUCUUACAUAUACCCUGCUAAUGGAGAUUUAAAGAUUCAUGGGAUCAUGGAGAUGGUUUGAAAAUGAUAAAAACUUCUCAGCACUUCCUCUAAAUUUUCCACAAAGUUUCUGGAAUAUUUGAAUCAACUGACUCUAAGUYGGUUCAGUUUUCAGGCAAGGAAAGUUAUUUUCUUUUUCCUCACUGGUAGCAUUUUUACAAGAAGUGAGGACGAGAUUAGGCAGAUGGAAGGAAAAAAAGUGUGAUGGAAUUGUAACAUCAAAAUCUUUAAAACUGCAUUAUUGGGUUGAAAAAAUGAAGGCAUUAGUUGUGUAGCUUCUGCGUCUAAGUUUCAGAAUGUUUUAAAAAUGCCAUUUGAGUUUUUAAAAGUGCUGCGUUUAUUCAGAGGCUGCUGAGAAUGAAAAGUAUUGAUAAGCUCUACUAAGCGUUUUCAUAUGGAAUCUAUUUUCAGCCACAUACCAGAAAAUGUCUUUGUUAUUUUUUUGAAUGAGACCCUAAUCUCAGAAUGACUUUUCAUUUAUCAGAGCCUUUUAAGUCUGCUAUUGUGUUUCCAGUCAGAUCCUUUCCACUCACUUCUUUUUUCCUGUGUCAGCCUCUUACAAACUUGCCACAGGGCAAAGUUCGCAGUUAUUUUCCACAGGCACAAGGAUUUCCCCUCUCAGGGGUGCACUUGGGCUUUAUGCAGUGGCAGCCAAGCACAAAUUAAUGCCAGCUCCAAGAGUUUGUGAUAAAGUUUCUUGUGGUAUAUCAUGCUUAAUAGCACACCCUACAAUUUGUGAUUUCACUUGUUAACAAUUCAAAGGCUUUUGUUCCUUAUGCUGUUUAGUCAGAUGAGAUGGCUUAGUGGUUUUUUGCAUCACCAGCAUUGGCAUUUGUGUCCUUGUUGGUGUUCUUGUUUAGUGUUGUGUUGGUUCCCACUUCAGCUAUAAUUUAAUAAUGUUCAAGUAAUGCUUUCUAGAAAAAAAAAAAGUAAGUUCUGGCAUCUGCAGUUGAGAAGUUGCAAAACUUGAGUGCAGUAUGCCAAAAAAUCCUCCAAAGAUAUAUAAUUGACUCCUCUUAAAAUUUAAUGAUUUUUCUGGGGUGUUUUUCUUUUUUUUGAGGGGUUGGGGAUUAACAAUAUUGUAGCACUUAAAUUCCUUGAAAUAUAUUUGUUUUAACCUUUUCCGAGGAGUUCAAGUUUGUUUCUGUGUAUUUUAUAGGCAAGAAACAGCUGUAAUUCUCUCUGGGGGUUAGAAAAGGCACAAAACCUGUUUGUUCUCUCCUAAUUCACUGUUGCAGAUUUUCUGACUCCAGGUAUGGAGGAGGAUUUGUGUUCCUAGGCCUGAUGGGGACUCCCAUGGCUCUGCAGUGAGGUUGUGCCAGCUGUCAGCCUGGCUGCCCUCUGGUGAGGGCUUUAGACACAGAAGCUACACAACUAAUGCCUUCAUUUUUUCAACCCAAUCAUGCAGUUUUAAAGAUUUUGAUGUUACUAUUCCAUCACACUUUUUUUCCUUCCAUCURCCUAAUCUUGUCCUUGUAGAGUGUGGAAAGGGGAGCAGCUUUGCAGUACUGAUGUAAAUGUAAAGAGUGAGAAAUGUGCUGGUGUUAUUACCAGUCAUCCUCUGGAGAGCCCUGAGCAUCUCCCUGGACAGGGAUCCACUUUCUGCCCUUACCCUGCAUAACCUCAUUGGCUUCAAAACAAGGUUUAAUGUCAUUAAAGCAAAUUGGCAUUAAGGCAAGGGAUUUUGUCCAGCAAUUCAGGGUGUUUUUAAUUGUUUUCCUAAGCACAGGGCAUCAGAAGGGUCAUUGAGAAAUUUGCCCAUACCAACUUUUCUUCCCAGCUAUGUCAGGUCCAGCUUGUAUCACCAACCUUUUCAUAUGCUGCUUUGCAUUCUUCUAAGUGGUAAACACCCUCUGAAACAUCCCAGCAUCCUUCAGGAUAUUUUAUACUCCCUUUGCUCCAUCUCAUGCAAGCACAAGGAUAAUUGCAUGGUCUGGUUGUCAACUGGGAACUUGGUCUGCUCUCCUCAUAUUUACAAGAGAAGGAUCUGAACCCUGACCCCAGCAGCGCUUUGAAGUGUUCCCUGACAGACAAAGAUGAAGCUGAGCUAUCCAAAUGUGCUGGGAGGGUCGUGACCCUGCAGUGAACAGGGGCUGAUGGUUGAACGGGGCUGGAGUGGGGAGCAGGGUGACUCUGCAUGGAAAUGGGGCUGCUCUGGAGCCCUGCAGUCACAAACUGCAGCUGAAAGCAGAGGAGAAGCCAGGAGGCUGGGAGGGACAGUGGAUCCUUUCCUGGCCUUAUUGCAGAGGAUCAAGAAAGGUGCUUUAACACGGAAAGGGGUUUUCUCUUUGCAUAAAUACACAUGGAUGCCCUGUGUUUCUUGAGCUAACAGAAAAUGAGUUGAAGAUUUCCACUGCGGUAUUUUGAUUCCAAGAGAGACGGUGGCCGUGAUAAGCAGUAAAGAAACAAGGUGAUUGUGAUUCCUUCUUCCUGUGAAACCUUCACAGAAGAAAAAGUAUGGAAAGGCAAAGAAGAGGUUGUGAUAGAGAAUAUUAAUUCAGAUCACACAGCAGAGAGCCAGAAUGCAUGAGAUAAUGUCAGGUGUAAAGAAAAAUCCUUGUAUUUGCAGUGAGAAUAUUUCAAGUGAAAUGUUUCCAUCUGAACCCAGGAGAAAGARGAAAGAUAACAGCUGAUUUCUUGUCAGAGAUCAGCUGUCAGAAUGAGCAGAUAAUACUUACUUAAUGGUAUCCAAAAUAGAAAUUCUCCAGUUCAAUCUGCACAGUCCCUGUAAAAAUAACAAAAACAGGAAAAAAAAGGAGUAAUUAAAAAUUUCAGAGGUACUCAGUGACAAAAUGCAAGACGAAAUAAAGCUCUGAGAGAUUAACUAACACAGAAUGAAUUUUCUCUCAUUAUUUCCCUUCCACUCUUCUGCUUCUUCUUUUCAUUUUUUCCCUGAAGCAUAUGCCAGGAAUGUUUCCAGCGAAUCAGUUCAGACAGGUUGAGCAGAUAUCCGGGGGAGCAGCCUUUGGUAAAUGGUGGGAUCACAGAGGUGGAACUGCAAUUCCGUGGCCUGGGCUGAACAUUCCCUUGUAAGCAAAAGGCUUUGCUUGUUCAGAGCCACAGAUGCAGCAUGGCAACAGGGAUGUGGCAUAUUGCUGAUUUAGGGGCAUGUGCCAGGAAUUGGGAAGUGCAGAUCAAGCCUUCUGAGAGAAAAUCAGACCAAUUAGAAUCUUGUCUCAUGUUUUUAAUUAACUUCAAACUCAGUCUCUUGUUUCUAGAAAAGGGGCGCCUGUGGGAAUGGAGGUACUUGGAUACAAAAGCAUCUUCCAAACCAUUUGGAAUUCACUCUGUUGAGAGCGGGUUUUGACUGGGCUUUAUUUUCAGCUAAAUUUUAAACAAGAUGCCAAGCAAUACAAAUGAAUUGAAAUUGAAAAGAAAGAGGAAGAUCCUGCUGGUUUGUGAUAGCUGCAUAUUGAGCCAGUCAGUCCAGUUACCACAGUAUCUGAAGAUCUCAGUCUUAAAGCAUCACUUCAAAACUUCUACAUAACUAACAUUUCUUUUAAAGGUUGAAAUCAACUUCUUAGAAGCCACCCAGAAUGUGAGAACUCAUUUCUAAAAAGAGUUUGCAUGCUUGUAACAGGUGAAAAUAUAUUGCAAUAUG